CUAAAAAAAAAUAUCCCAAUACCCCAGGACAGGGAUUGGGGACACUGCCCUGUGUAGGGUGCUGUCUUUCAGAUGGGACGUUAAACGGGUGUCCUGACUCUCUGAGGUCAUUAAAGAUCCCAUGGCACUUAUUGUAAGAGUAGAGGUGUUAACCCUGGUGUCCUGGCUAAAUUCCCAAUCUGGCCCUCAAACCAUCACGGUCACCUAAUAAUCCCCAGUUUACAAUUGGCUCAUUCCUCCUCUCCUCUGUAACUAUUCCCCAGGUCGUUGCUGCAAAUGAGAACGUGUUCUCAGUCAACUUACCUGGUAAAAUAACAGAUAAAUAAAAAAAUUGAGCAAGUCACUGGUACUUCCUGCUUUAGUUUUUGCUUGUAAGCAGAUAUCAGGAGGAGAGAAUUAUGGUCAGAUUUGCCAAAUGGAGGGUGGUAGAGAGCUUUGUAUGCAUCUCUGUGUGUGGAUUAAAGGUAGUCUAGAGUUUUUGUCCCCUCUGGUUGCACAGGUUGUGACAUGUUGGUAGAAAUUAGAUAAAACUGAUAUAAGUUUUCCUGCAUUAAAGUCCCCGGCCACUAGGAGCACCACUUCUGGAUGAUUAAAGCUAAUUUCCUGCAAUUCUAGGUAUUUUGACAUGGCUUAGGCCUAUGACCAGUGUGGAAGAGUGUAAGAUAAAAGUGUAUUCAGGUGUAUUCAGGAUGCUUUGAACAUGAAAUGGACACUCAAAAUUCGAUGACUUUGUUACUUUGACAUUUUUGGAGGAUGACAUUUAAAGUAUGCUAAUAUUAUUUUUAAAACAAAUUUUUUAGCUGGUUUGACACUUUAUUCAGACUUAGGGAGAAGCAGUGGGAAGGUUGGAAGAAGAGAUUGCUCUCUGUUCUCAGGUGUUACCACUACACCAAGACUCUGCACAGAUUCCGUUGCCCACCAAAACAUGUCCAGCAUGUGCAUCCUGCCUAGAAAAUGGACAUGUUCCAUAGCAACUGCAUCUGCAUGGCCAGCCAGUUAGAAGAGGCAAGUAAGGGAUUCCCUGAGGAGCGAAGAGAAGAAUGAAGUAGCAUCUCUGACUGCUACUCUUAAACCUUCCCUGACCUGCCCACCAUCAGAACGUCAUUGUGACUGCAAGAACAUGUCCUCUUCCUUUCAUCUCGGCUCUGUAGGACAUAUUUAAGACCCAUUAAAAUCCAAAGAUUCUCCUAACUCGGGUGAUGCCAGAAUCAAUUGGAAUGCCUUCUCUAUCUCCCAAACAGUUGAUAGAGUUUUCAGAUAUUGG
rnacentral:lncRNA from 13 species